rnacentral:ncRNA from 1 species
GCAAAGGCGUUGAAAGGGAGGAGUAUCUGCGAGUGGGAUACAGAGAGCUGCCGGUUGGUGUGAGGCAGUCGAAGCAGACAGAGAACUGGCCCCGGAGCUGCCGGUUGAAGGAAAAUCGGAAAGCCGCUGUCAGUAAGACAGCAGAUGAUUUUUUGUGUAGGGCCGGACGGGAGCCUACCGUAUAAGGAGGCAGGCAGACAUUAGGAUGUGCCAAAGAGGGCAUGGAAAACCAUGAAGUAGAGUGGUACCGCGUAAAUUUACGUCUCUACG